rnacentral:rRNA from 2 species
GUCGAACGCGUUGGCCCAAUUGAUUGAUGGUGCUUGCACCUGAUUGAUUUUGGUCGCCAACGAGUGGCGGACGGGUGAGUAACACGUAGGUAACCUGCCCAGAAGCGGGGGACAACAUUUGGAAACAGAUGCUAAUACCGCAUAACAACGUUGUUCGCAUGAACAACGCUUAAAAGAUGGCUUCUCGCUAUCACUUCUGGAUGGACCUGCGGUGCAUUAGCUUGUUGGUGGGGUAACGGCCUACCAAGGCGAUGAUGCAUAGCCGAGUUGAGAGACUGAUCGGCCACAAUGGGACUGAGACACGGCCCAUACUCCUACGGGAGGCAGCAGUAGGGAAUCUUCCACAAUGGGCGCAAGCCUGAUGGAGCAACACCGCGUGAGUGAAGAAGGGUUUCGGCUCGUAAAGCUCUGUUGUUAAAGAAGAACACGUAUGAGAGUAACUGUUCAUACGUUGACGGUAUUUAACCAGAAAGUCACGGCUAACUACGUGCCAGCAGCCGCGGUAAUACGUAGGUGGCAAGCGUUAUCCGGAUUUAUUGGGCGUAAAGAGAGUGCAGGCGGUUUUCUAAGUCUGAUGUGAAAGCCUUCGGCUUAACCGGAGAAGUGCAUCGGAAACUGGAUAACUUGAGUGCAGAAGAGGGUAGUGGAACUCCAUGUGUAGCGGUGGAAUGCGUAA